rnacentral:rRNA from 1 species
UAGGGAAUAUUAGAAAUGGACGAAAGUCUGAUCUAGCAACACCGCGUGUGCGAAGAAGGCCUUCGGGUUGUAAAGCACUUUUUGGAAGGAUUAGGAAGGAAUGUACUUCCAGAAUAAGUCUCGGCUAACUACGUGCCAGCAGCCGCGGUAACACGUAGGAGGCAAACGUUAUCCGGAUUUACUGGGCGUAAAGCGCGUGUAGGUGGUUCUGUAAGUAGGGCGUGAAAGCUCCUGGCUCAACUGGGAGAGGCCGUUCUAAACUGCAGAGCUAGAGGAUGGUAGAGGGAGGUGGAAUUCCGGGUGUAGCGGUGGAAUGCGCAGAUAUCCGGAGGAACACCAGUGGCGAAAGCGGCCUCCUGGACCAUUCCUGACACUCAGACGCGAAAGCUAGGGUAGCAAA